GGACAUGAAAAAAACAGGUUUGUAAAUGAUGUUGUAUAUCAUGCAGAUAGCUCAGAAGAAGAAGCAGGAAUGUUUGACUGGAAGUAUAAACGAUGUUGUACAUAAUGCAGAUAGCUUAGGCAAAAAAGAGAUUGGUGAAAUGGAGAAUGAGACUAACUACGGUGAAAAAAUAAUGAAUAUCAAAAUGUGAAUGGUACUUUGUUUGACAUCAACCUGUUUCUACAGACACAAUGCAGUUGCACUUAUAAAUGGGCUUGAUGUUUUUUUUGGAUU
rnacentral:lncRNA from 1 species